AUGUGUAGUGGAAUGCAAAAAUGGGGCUUCUUGACGUUGACGUCGUUAUCGAGAAAAUGCGAGAUCUUUGACGCCAUUUUUUCCUCGUUAUUUUUCCGUUCAACUGGCAGUAAAAACAGCGCUUAAUUAUAUAAUAAAUGACUUGUCAGCACAUGGGGUCCUGAUUCAUACAGAGUAAUCAACGGCGAAAAUAAUUUGCUACCGUUCAUCCUAUGACAGUGAGUAAAAUUAUCACGGGGAAAGAUUUUUACGAGGACCACUGAUUACGUCAUCUGACAUUGAUUGUUGAUAAAUUAUUGGUGAAUUGAUUCGAUGUUUUCGGUGUUUAAAAGUAUAUUUUACACCGACAAAGUCUGCUUUGACAAAACUUAUAUAAAACUGGAUUAUUCGGGUUAAGUGAGUAUGCAUUUUUUCUAGUAUUUUUGCUAAAAUAUGUAUUUUAUCGGAAAAUAAUUAUACCCGGAAGUAGAAACAAUUGCAGUUCCUGGACAACGGUUUGUUGAUAGCAACAUGGAAAAUGGCAGCCAAGUAAUUAUUUACUCAAAGCAAUUAAUACCAAAAUUUAUGUAAUUAAUCUCUAAGAUAAAACAAUCAUCAAAGUGAGGAAAUUCAAGAUUUUCAAGAAUUUUAAUCUUUUACUUUCUUCCAUGCAUACUGUACAGUACAGUACAUGUAUGAGAUUAAAAAUUUGAACUGUUGAAAACUUGUAUUGAUCAACACUGACAACAGUAUGUGAUUAAUAGAUUUCUCAAAAGUGAAAAUAUAUUUCUGGCUACAUUGUUUGAGCUGUUUAAAAUUUUCAGACCUUUAAAAUUAAAAAUAUGGAGAUGGUGCAGUUUCCAUAAUUUUUCAUAACCAGAUUCAAUAAACGGAGGGUAUUGAAUGAGUGCAUAGCCUCUACUGUAGCCUGAGUCUAGGUACAAUUAAUAUUGAAUUUAUUGAAUAAGUUGAAUAAAAUUAUAUAAUGCAAGCACAAUAUUAUUUUAUUCAAUGAGUUAUAUGUAAUAAGUUAAGAACCCACACAAAUAUAAUAUUCUAUUAAUCACAUACCUAACUUUAAGACUGUUUAAAAUUAAAAGGAAUAUUUUUCCAUUGACACAACUUGACUACUGUAUAGUGUAACGCUUACACUUAGCGUGUAUUUACAUUAUAUUUGCAUAUGAUGUCACAUCAAAAUAUCAUUUUUUUUUUGUUCACACUUAGAAGCACAUUAAUGAAUACCUAAGCCUGAACUUGUAUGAAAUAAUUUAACUAAUAUUUUAAUAAAAAAAGGUCACAGCCCUAUGACAAGCUUUCUAGAAAGGAUGCAUAUUAAAGGAAUCAUAUUGGCAGGUGCCUUUUUAGCAAAACUUGAGGACCUCAGGAAAAUCUGACUUUUAUAUAAAUUGUAAUAACUGUAUAACAAUAAUACAUAAUUUAUAAAUUUAACUACUGUACAUUUCAGGCACUUCACCAUGCACUCUUGAUGUAAAGUACUCCAACCCUUGGAAUUAUGUCCAACAAGUGCAUAAUCCCCAUCAUUCUCAACAGGUUGGUCCAAUAUGUUUUAGGACACCAAGAAAGUUCCAUGUGUUUGGUUUUUGUGCAGAGGGAUCAGGACUCCAUGGAAGUGUCAGUCUCAACAUGUUUGGCACUUUUAUAUCUGGAAAGUGAAGAAACAAUGCAACAGGUUGCCUCAGUGUACUGUCCUGCAGGGCACAAUAUUCCACAGCUUAUAGAUGAUCCAGAAAAUCCCUAGGGUUAAACCCCUCAAACAGUUAUCCAAAUACCACCAUUUGUGUGCAAGUACAAUGGAGCCAGGUGUUAUAACAUGUAAAUAAUAUAUUAACUCUGUGCAGGGUAAAAUGUAUUUACUGAAACAAAUGCCUCCCAGAGGUCUUUAACCUGAAGUACAGUUCUUCACAUCUGACAUACCUAAAAUACUGUGUGGCCAAAACCGGUUAUCCCGAAAUCGGAAAAUAGAAAUAAAGUUGGAUAUUGACAUUAUGUGAAAAAAGGUGGAAAGAGAAAGAGCAGUCUAUUACUCUUGAGUAUAAUUGGAGUUCCUAUAACUUAGUGGUCAUGUAUGGACUGUCAUUAUUUUCUUCAUUUCAAAUAUAGCUUAUGAUACAAGUAGAAGUGAGAUGAUUGUCUUUAUGCUUCAUAAGAUAAGACUGCAAGUGUUGUCUUGCAUAACUGCUGCUCUAAGGACUAAUGCUAUAUUAACAAGUGUGUGGAACUGUGGAUCAUUGAUGUUAUUAAUAAGUUAUGAUAUUAAUUAAUGGGUGCCUAUAUUAUUUUUGGAUGUCAGUUUACCAGUUAUUAAUUUCCAUCAUUUUUACAAAAUGUUUAUGAGAUUAAGUUUAUUGUCAUUUGUCAUUUUACUUAAAGUUAUACACUUCUGUUGAACCUAUGAAUGUUAUGAAUUGAUAACUGUAAUCUUAUCUUAAGCUUUGAUCUAGAUUGAAAAUGACUUUAUGAAAAUGUAAAGUAAUAUUAAGCUUCAGUAAUUGUUGUCAAAUUUUAAACAUUUUAUAGUUGUAGAAUAUGAAAAAUACUUUAUCUAUAACAAUUAUAGGUCAGUUGAAUUUUUAUGUUGAUAUUAGUGUAGAAUCACAUUGUAAGAUUAUCACAAAUUCUAAAAAAUGUUAAAAGAAGCAGCAAAAUCAAAGAAUAGUCCAUGUUAGCUAGGCAACCAAAAUUCCCUUCAGUUGGGAAGGAUUUUUAACAGGUGCAUUAUAAUAAAAAUACUUUAUAUUUGAUCUAAUGUAACUCUAUAAUUAAAAAAUAAUCAUCACUAAGUUGUAAAAUAUCAAAAUAUAGAACAUUAAAUGUACCUAAAGAUAAAUGUUGUGAACAUGAUAUUAGAAGGAAUGAUGAGGCAGGCUGUUCUCUGAAUACCGGAAGUUCAGUUACACAUUAUUUGUGGUAUUGUUUUCAAUUUUUUAUAAUAGCACACAUUGCUUUUUUGUAACUUAAUCUCCUGUAUGACUGUAAAAAUUUGGAAAUUUAGAAAUUAAUUAAAGAUAAUAAAUAUUCAUUGGUUGCUAAGCAACCUUAUUAAAUACAGAGACAGUUUUAAGUAAUUAAACUUUUUUGUAGGAAUUGUCUUUAUGUCAUUUAAAUCAUGCUAGUCAAUUCAAAGUCCUUACUUUGUUGUGAAACAGUGUAGUUAACACCACAUGUUCCUUAAAAUACUUUUAUGAAAUUAUGUAUAUUAUCUAUUUAAUUCAAAACCUAUAGUAAAGUGAGUUUUAGGAUGCUUUGAUCCAAGAACUAUUAUUCAGAUUGUAUUUGCAGUUUUAAUAGUUGUAAUUUGUUUUUGUAAUCAUGCUGCUUUGUUCAUGGUAUUUUGAGAUCUAUUUUAAUCAAACUUAAAAUUUGUAAAAUUUAAAAGAAAAUUAUGGAAUAUAUUGUGGUUGCUUGGCAACACUGAUUAAUUGUUACUAAUUGCUUAGGUAUUAUGUAAAUCAGUUAUACAGCAGAUAGAUAUAUUUAUGUAAUAUGGAAAUUCACAGUGAUUUGAUCAAAUGCUUAUUGGUUAUGGCAAAAAUACUGAGUUUCUGCUAAAAUUAACAUGGCCUACUAUCACUAGUCAAGUGUACAGAACAUGUAAUGCAUGUAAUAUCUUGAAUGGAAAAUUAUUUAAAAGUAAAUAAUAGGCAUUGUUUGUAAUUUUAUUGAAAAUUAAUUUAUUGCUGCUGCUUUGUUAGCUAUAUUUUACCAAGAAAUUUGUUUACUUACAAAAUAAAUUACAAAAAUUUAGAAUAUUCCAUGGUUGCUAGGUAACAGAAUAUAGUUUCCUUCAUGUUGUAUUUGUGUUAUUAUGCCCUUUAUUUAGUAUUACUACCUUUGAUGAUGUUAUACUAAAGUCAUCUUUCAUUUACUGUUGUAUUAAACUGUUGUCUGCUGUCAGAGUAAAUAUCUGAAUAAAGUUAAUAAAUGAAUGAUAAAUGGA